UUGAACGCUGGCGGCAGGCCUAACCCAUGCCAGUCGAACGGUAACAGGAAGCAGCUUGCUGCUUCGCUGACGAGUGGCGGACGGGUGAGUAAUGUCUGGGAAACUGCCUGAUGGAGGGGGAUAACUACUGGAAACGGUAGCUAAUACCGCAUAACGUCGCAAGACCAAAGAGGGGGACCUUAGGGCCUCUUGCCAUCGGAUGUGCCCAGAUGGGAUUAGCUAGUAGGUGGGGUAACGGCUCACCUAGGCGACGAUCCCUAGCUGGUCUGAGAGGAUGACCAGCCACACUGGAACUGAGACACGGUCCAGACUCCUACGGGAGGCAGCAGUGGGGAAUAUUGCACAAUGGGCGCAAGCCUGAUGCAGCCAUGCCGCGUGUAUGAAGAAGGCCUUCGGGUUGUAAAGUACUUUCAGCGGGGAGGAAGGGAGUAAAGUUAAUACCUUGGCUCAUUGACGUUACCCGCAGAAGAAGCACCGGCUAACUCCGUG
rnacentral:rRNA from 1 species